AUCUUUGCACUUGGAGCAAUGACGCAGCUAGUGAGAUUUCAUGAGACGCGUUAAUUGCCGGUUGAAAACUAUUUCAGAACCCCCUCUUUCGCUCUCAUUGGCCAUUGAGAAUUUUUGGAAGGGUUCCAAACA
rfam:Triticum aestivum genome assembly, contig: Triticum_aestivum_CS42_TGACv1_scaffold_251552_3DL